rnacentral:rRNA from 1 species
AGGGAAUCUUCGGCAAUGGACGAAAGUCUGACCGAGCAACGCCGCGUGAGUGAAGAAGGUUUUCGGAUCGUAAAACUCUGUUGUUAGAGAAGAACAAGGAUGAGAAGAGAAUGUUCAUCCCUUGACGGUAUCUAACCAGAAAGCCACGGCUAACUACGUGCCAGCAGCCGCGGUAAUACGUAGGUGGCAAGCGUUGUCCGGAUUUAUUGGGCGUAAAGCGAGCGCAGGCGGUUUCUUAAGUCUGAUGUGAAAGCCCCCGGCUUAACCGGGGAGGGUCAUUGGAAACUGGGAGACUUGAGUGCAGAAGAGGAGAGUGGAAUUCCAUGUGUAGCGGUGAAAUGCGUAGAUAUAUGGAGGAACACCAGUGGCGAAGGCGGCUCUCUGGUCUGUAACUGACGCUGAGGCUCGAAAGCGUGGGGAGCGAAC